rnacentral:tRNA from 1 species
GCGCCCAUAGCUCAACUGGAUAGAGCGUUCGGCUACGAACCGAAAGGUUAGAGGUUCAAGUCCUCUUGGGCGCG